GUAGGUGGCAAGCGUUGUCCGGAAUUAUUGGGCGUAAAGCGCGCGCAGGCGGUUCUUUAAGUCUGAUGUGAAAGCCCACGGCUCAACCGUGGAGGGUCAUUGGAAACUGGAGAACUUGAGUACAGAAGAGGGAAGCGGAAUUCCACGUGUAGCGGUGAAAUGCGUAGAGAUGUGGAGGAACACCAGUGGCGAAGGCGGCUUUCUGGUCUGUAACUGACGCUGAGGCGCGAAAGCGUGGGGAGCAAACAGGGAUUAGAUACCCUGGUAGUCCACGCCGUAAACGAUGAGUGCUAAGUGUUAGGGGGUUUCCGCCCCCUUAGUGCUGCAGCUAACGCAUUAAGCACUCCGCCUGGGGAUACGGCCGCAAGGCUG
rnacentral:rRNA from 1 species